rnacentral:rRNA from 1 species
UACGUAGGGGGCUAGCGUUGUCCGGAAUCAUUGGGCGUAAAGCGCGUGUAGGCGGUCCGGUAAGUCCGCUGUGAAAGUCGGGGGCUCAACCCUCGAAAGCCGGUGGAUACUGUCGGGCUAGAGUACGGAAGAGGCGAGUGGAAUUCCUGGUGUAGCGGUGAAAUGCGCAGAUAUCGAGAGGAACACCUGCGGCGAAGGCGGGUAGCUGGGCCGACACUGACGCUGAGGCGCGAAAGCCAGGGGAGCGAACGGG